rnacentral:misc_RNA from 1 species
AAUAGCUUAGCAAAUCCAAUAGAAGCUCAACUGUGGGAAGAUUAACUUGGUGUAAUUGCUGAGCUAUUCAUCCCAUGUUCUGUUCAUCUGUUCAAUCUUCAAUAUUCAUGGAGAUAUAGACUCAUCUCUAGAUGCUGUAAUAUUUUCAUUUCUAAGCAAUUGUUAUUGUGCACUGGAAUUUCUGGCUUCAAAAGCUGGUACAGGAGGAGCAGAAUCCUUCUCACUAAUGGAAUAAAUAACCAGUCCAAUAGCUACAGUGGCAAAAGCAAGAUAGUAUAACCAGUC